rnacentral:tRNA from 1 species
GGGCGAAUAGCUCAGCUGGUCAGAGCGCUUGCGUCACAGGCAAGAAGUCACAGGUUCAAAUCCUGUUUCGCCCA